GAAUUACUAAGUAGGAGACGUUUUAAUUUUUUUUUUAUUCAAAACCAGAAAAUUAUAAGGGACAAUGUUAUACCCACAACGUUAGACAUGGGCUGUGCUAUCCACAAUUUUCCGCAUCAAACGGCAAAGAUGAGGUCUGUAACCCUAUAAACAACUGACGGUUGUAAUUCCCGCCAUCAGCAGAACUACCGGACUGAACCAAGCUCCCGAUCAUAGAUAACGGACUGAGCUUCCAGAAGGGCCACCAAUGGCAGCUCUUAACCUUCGCAUCGCUACCUCCACCCUCUCGUCCGUACAAUGCCAAUAACUAGAACCACUCCCAGCAUUGGUCCCCUUCCAAAAUUAUAUAUUUUCAUUUUCUUUUUUUUUUUCCUCUUCCGAUUUUUGUUAUUUCUUUAUGCGAAGGAGGAUCCAGGGGGGUUAUUUGGUCCUCCACAGAAGGGCCACCUCACCCGACGCGAGUUCCAAAGACUCAUAGAGCUACGCCGUCGCUCGCGAAGCCCUUGAGCAACAUGCCUGCGAAGAGAGAGGGCGUCGCCGAGCUCUUCGCCAAAUUGAAUUAGGAAUUUUUUAGCAUCUACAAUCUGGUUCAGCUUUGGUUUGCUGUUUCAAAAACAGAGGAUAUGGAGGACUGAUUGAGCUGGAAGCACUACAGAAGGUUCUGAUGGAAGGCACAGAAACGUAUGAUAAAAUGCAAGGUGAACUUUGUGAAGGAAAGGAACAGCUUAACCAAAAUCUUGACAUCAAAGGAUGUGAAAGCAACUAUAUGCAUUACUAUUUUCACUCAUGCAGCCUUCAAUUUAUUUACUUUACUAUUUUGUGCUGCAUAAUUAUGUUCGCUAUAUGGCUUCGUCUAUUUAUGCUAGUUGUUGGAGAUGGUUGAGCAGAAGGAACUCAAUAGAUCCUUGUUGACACUUCUUGAUGAAAAUAUAGCAAGCGCUCAUCAAAGUAACCAGAAUGGAAAAUCUUCGUGCAGCUAUGCUCAAGUACAUGACAGUUUAGCACUCAGAUGGUGAAUAAUAUUUCCCUUUCUGGUUGAAUGCAUUAUGGAGAUGAGUAUUGUUUUAGUUUUCGUUGGGUAGGUUAAAUUUUGAACCAAAAAGUUGAAAGAAUAUAUGAAUUAUUGUAUAGAGUCAUGCUUAUUGCUUAGUGACUACUUUUUUACAUAUGCUUGCAUUGUAGCCCCUGACACUAGAUUGAAAAUGGUACUGAAAUACAAAUUUUUGCCACAAAUGUUUUUGUGGAACAUUGUUAUGCUUAAGAUUGAUUUCAUGUGAACUGAAAUAGAAAUGAUACUCAGAUGCCUGAACCAUCAUAGCAUGUGCAUGCAUUCAUCACGAACGGUGGAAUUGAACCCUUAUGACGAAUAGUUAUACAAAACGAGUGCAUUCAGUUGGAAAGCAAUUAAAAGACGAUAAGUUCCAAGCAAUACAGUAUUGUUUAGUGAACUUCAAUAAUGAGUUUCUGUUAUAGGCUGACUUGUUUCUAGAAAGCUGCUAUAGGGGAGGGUAUCUGGUUGAUCUGGAGACUGAUUGUGGGAAAGAGUGAAGCCUUGUCUCUCAGUUGUAAGAAACAAGAACAAUUUGCAGGGCAUUUUGACUUGCAAAGUGGCACCAAAUUGCCAAUCAGGCAGUUAUUUAAAACUAGCUGCUUGCCCGUUAGCUAAAACGAUAAGGUGUCAACCCUUGAUUGUCCCUACAAAAUGAUAAAACAAAAAGAUUCCUGUAGGCCCCAACCAAGGUUCAACAUUACUGGACUACUAUUUAUGAUAAUCAGAAACUGCUCACAUGGUUGAUGCAUUGGCAUCCUCAACGGUGGAGUUCCUCCUAGCCAAUUUCUUGAUUACAUAGUCAAUAUGAAAAUGCAUAUUGCAAAGGCUGUUGCUGGAUUUACUUGGAAGGCACAUAAAACAAGGACAUGGGUUUUGAUGGUUUACUUUUGAAAUGCAAGACAUACACUUGGUAGACUUGGACUAAAUCAUCAAGUGUAUGCUUGUGCAUUUGUAUUUAUAUAUUAAAUGCAAGAGGUUAUCUGUGUACUGUACAAUCGCUCCAUUUUCCUCCUUGGAUCCUUCAUAGAUUCAAUGAGUAGGAUCUGAAAUCUGUAUUAGAUAUUUAGCUAUGUCAGUUGACUUGCAUAUAAGUUACAACUUGAUUAGAUCAAAAUAUUUUGGUGAGUUACUUCACGAUAAUUUAUUUAGGCCAUUGACUAGCAUUUUCAUCCUUCAUCGUGCUUGGAUGCCCAAUCUUGUUUUUAUGGUGUUUUUGUCCCAAACUGUACCGGUCUCUGUGUGUUUAAGUCCACUGAGUGCAUUGUGGAGGUUAGGCACGUGUAGACACACACAAAGAUCUUCAUUAAUUAGGUAGACUACAGUAUUCGAAGGAAAAGUAAAAACCUGGAUGCUUUCAAUUCUU